rnacentral:rRNA from 1 species
AGCGAACGCUGGCGGCAGGCCUAACACAUGCAAGUCGAACGAACUCUUCGGAGUUAGUGGCGGACGGGUGAGUAACACGUGGGAACGUGCCUUUAGGUUCGGAAUAACUCAGGGAAACUUGUGCUAAUACCGAAUGUGCCCUUCGGGGAAGGAUUAUCGCCUUUAGAGCGGCCCGCGUCUGAUUAGCUAGUUGGUGAGGUAAAGGCUCACCAAGGCGACGAUCAGUAGCUGGUCUGAGAGGAUGAUCAGCCACAUUGGGACGUGAGACACGGCCCAAACU